GAGACAGAGCGCGUGCCAACUGCACCUGCGCGGGGACUUAGUUCUUGGAGAAGGGCCCCAAUAGGUAAAUGACUCCAGAAGGUCUUCUUCCAGCAGCCAGAGUAAGACAGGAAAUGAAGCCGAUUUAUUGACAAGCUGAAGAAACUGAGGCUCAGGGAAAGAGAACUGGCACUUGCUUUUGACCCCAAAUCCUGGCUCUCCUGGCUGCUCUGUGAAAUCCUAAAUCAUGGUAACCCUGGAUACCACCAUACCAGCUUUGGUUGCAUGAUAGGAUUAAGGCCAAUAUCAUCUAUGCUGCAGUGAAGGCAUGGAUGGGAAACUCACAGUGAAGGAGAAUGUAGUGCAUUGAAAUGACAAAACAUUGCAUCUGUGCUGUAAACUACGACUGAAAUGCUUCACGCUCUCCUUAAGGAAGUGAAUCAGGCCCUUAUAGUGACCCCUACUGCUAAGACUUCUCGUGCCCAUGAAGACUCCUGCACUUCCA